UUUUUCUCUCUAUUGUUCUUUUCUUUUAUUGUGUUAUUAGGUCAGUUUCACAACACGUUAUCAGCAUGAAAGCGUUUUUCUCAUAAACACUAGUUUCCAAGCCAUCGUCGUCACCGUAAAUCCAACACUUUUUCUCAUUCCCCCCCCCCCGACAAUCUGUCCAUCUGCAGAGAACCACAUAUCCCUGCUCUUGUUACUCGAUGAUUAAAUUUGAUCGAUAGCUACCUCAUCCAUAGAAUAUACGGAUGCGAAAAUCACUGAAUUUGAAAGGUCAUUAGGUGAUUGGAACAGGAGCUUGUUGGCUGGAGAGCAGGAGAGCAGGAGUGGUCAUGGUCAUGUUGAGGACUUAAUUAUCAAACACUUAUUUAUUAUGAUCGUUUAGUAUUUACUUUUU
rnacentral:lncRNA from 1 species